rnacentral:rRNA from 1 species
GCCUCAGUAACGGCGAGUGAAGCGGCAUCAGCUCAAAUUUGAAAUCUGGCACCUUUGGGGGCCCGAGUUGUAAUUUGGAGAGGAUACUUCGGGGGUGGCCACGGUGUAAGUCCCUUGGAACAGGGCGUCAUAGAGGGUGAGAAUCCCGUCUUGCACCGCGAUCCCUCCCCCGUGUGAAGUUCCUUCGACGAGUCGAGUUGUUUGGGAAUGCAGCUCUAAGUGGGUGGUAAAUUUCAUCUAAAGCUAAAUAUUGGCCGGAGACCGAUAGCGCACAAGUAGAGUGAUCGAAAGGUUAAAAGCACCUUGAAAAGGGAGUUAAAUAGCACGUGAAAUUGUUGAAAGGGAAGCGCUUGCAACCAGACUCGGUUCCGGGGGCUCAACGGGCACCUGUUGCCCGUGUACUCCCCCGGAUUCCGGGCCAGCAUCAGUUCAGGCGGCCGGUCAAAGGCCUUGGGAAGGUAGUAUCCUCCGGGAUACCUUAUAGCCCUCGGUGCAAUGCGGCCAGCCCGGACUGAGGAACGCGCUUCGGCACGGAUGCUGGCAUAAUGGUUGUAAGCGGCCCGUCUUGAAACACGGACCAAGGAGUCUAACAUCCACGCGAGUGUUCGGGUGUCAAACCCGUGCGCGCAGUGAAAGCGAACGGAGGUGGGAGCCCUUUAGGGUGCACCAUCGACCGAUCCUGAAGUCUUCGGAUGGAUUUGAGUAAGAGCGUGGCUGUUGGGACCCGAAAGAUGGUGAACUAUGCCUGAAUAGGGUGAAGCCAGAGGAAACUCUGGUGGAGGCUCGCAGCGGUUCUGACGUGCAAAUCGAUCGUCAAAUUUGGGUAUA